GAGAUAAGCACCAUUGCACUCUAGCCUGUGUGACAGAGUGAGACUCCAUCUCGAAGAAAAAAAAAAGUCUGCCAGAGAAAUACCACAAACACACAGCUGAAGACUCUGUCAAAGAAGUGAGAAGUAAUUAGAGAAUUUACCAUUCUGUAAUUAUUCAGUUAAUACUUGCGUACUUGCGUUAAGUUUUAGGAUUUAGUAAAUGCCCCAUAAGUGUUAGGAUUGACAUCUCAGCUCCACCUGUCACUGGGUGUAUUCUUCUGGGCAAAUCAAUUAACCUGUCUGGACAUCAAUCCCUUCAUUUGCAAAAUGAAGGAGAUAAUCUCUCCUCUUAUAGGUUCCUUGGAAGAGUCAAAAAGUAAAAUGGAGAAACUGAGAAGUGUUAUCUAAAUGUCGACUGUGUUCUUUUAGGAAUGCACCAGCAUUUCUGGAACCACAGGAAGGGACAGAGUUUCCGAUGUUCAUUUAUUUAAUCCCUCUUGGAAAGUGUUAGCAGCUCGUUGCAUCUGUAAAGGAUGGAGGUGCCUUUGAUCACUUCAAUCAACUCACAGCUUCUCCCUUCCCAAAGGCAAGAGGCACCCUUGGCUUCCUCCUGCAAGGGCUCUGGGUACAAGCCUGAGCUUGCUGCCACCGUUAGUCUCCCACUGUGCUGGGGCUGAGGGAGGGGGCUGCCGGGCCCACGGUGGAGUUUGGGGGGAUUUCAGGUUAACCCACAGUAUAUGGGAGGGUGGGUUUCUUUUCCUUUGUGCCGUCAUUUUUCCAAGGCGGCAAUCAAAGGAGAGCAACCUGUGGUAUAAUUCAAGGCUGGCAAAGAGACAGACAAAGAUGAUGGCAGAGGUGCCUCCCCUGCAGCCUGUGGAUCCAUACUGCACUCACGUCCUCACUCUGAAGGUGGCCUCCUAUGAACACCUGCAGCUCAGGCCCGGGAGUUCUUAUCUGUUUGUGACAGGACAUUCCACCCACAUGUAGGACAAGGCAGACAUUGCUGGAGUGUUUGAGCCGCAGGGAGCAGCGCUCAACCAACCAUGGAUGGGACUGGUGGAUAAUCGCCCAGCUCCCUUCCCUUUCCAUGGGACAGCUCUGGGAUGCAUGCUUUGCCCUGGCCCCAGCAGAGCUGAACCUCAGUUGCCACCUGCCCCCCAGCCCCCUCCGUAGGAACAUGCCUGGGGACACACCCUUCCUUGGCUGCCUUCCCGUUCCCAUCCCUGUCUCUCACUGUCCCCUCCCUCCUGGUGUUUCCUGAAUCACUGUGCAAAUAAACUACUCACACCCCA